rnacentral:rRNA from 1 species
GAUGAACGCUGGCUACAGGCUUAACACAUGCAAGUCGAGGGGAAACGACGGGGAAGCUUGCUUCCCCGGGCGUCGACCGGCGCACGGGUGAGUAACGCGUAUCCAACCUGCUUCUGACUGAGGGAUAACCCGUCGAAAGUCGGCCUAAUACCUCAUGGCAUCGUCUGCGGGCAUCCAACGACGAUUAAAGAUUUCAUCGGUCAGAGAUGGGGAUGCGUCUGAUUAGCUUGUUGGCGGGGUAACGGCCCACCAAGGCGACGAUCAGUAGGGGUUCUGAGAGGAAGGUCCCCCACAUUGGAACUGAGACACGGUCCAAACUCCUACGGGAGGCAGCAGUGAGGAAUAUUGGUCAAUGGGCGAGAGCCUGAACCAGCCAAGUAGCGUGCAGGAGGACGGCCCUAUGGGUUGUAAACUGCUUUUAUGCGGGGAUAAAGUGAGGGACGUGUCCUUCAUUGCAGGUACCGCAUGAAUAAGGACCGGCUAAUUCCGUG